rnacentral:rRNA from 1 species
UACAGGGGGGGGCAAGCGUUGUUCGGAAUUACUGGGCGUAAAGGGCCAGUAGGCGGCCAACUAAGUCACACGUGAAAUCCCCAGGCUUAACCUGGGAACUGCGUGUGAUACUGGAUGGCUUGAAUUCGGGAGAGGGAUGCAGAAUUCCAGGUGUAGCGGUGAAAUGCGUAGAUAUCUGGAGGAAUACCGGUGGCGAAGGCAGGGUCCUGGCUGGCACCUGACGCUGAUGUGCGAAAGCCAGGGGAGCGAACGGG